rnacentral:rRNA from 1 species
GAUUAUGGCUCAGAUUGAACGCUGGCGGCAGGCCUAAUACAUGCAAGUCGAACGGUAACAUAGGAAAAGCUUGCUUUUCCUGAUGACGAGUGGCGGACGGGUGAGUAAAGUUUGGGAAGCUACCUGAUAGAGGGGGACAACAGUUGGAAACGACUGCUAAUACCGCAUACAGCCUGAGGGUGAAAGCAGCAAUGCGCUAUCAGAUGCGCCCAAAUGGGAUUAGCUAGUAGGUGAGGUAAAGGCUCACCUAGGCGACGAUCUCUAGCUGGUCUGAGAGGAUGAUCAGCCACAUUGGGACUGAGACACGGCCCAGACUCCUACGGGAGGCAGCAGUAGGGAAUAUUGCACAAUGGAGGAAACUCUGAUGCAGCCAUGCCGCGUGUGUGAAGAAGGCCUUCGGGUUGUAAAGCACUUUCGGAGGGGAGGAGAAUGACGUUACCCUCAGAAGAAGCACCGGCUAACUCCGUGCCAGCAGCAGC